ensembl:miRNA MIR8055 microRNA 8055
UUACGGUCACACUGUGCUCACUUUGUCAAAUAAAAGAUGGAGUCGUUUGACGUCUUUUAACACCCUUUGAGCACAUGAGCAGACGGAGUGAUCAUGA